CAGGAUUCAAUCCACUUGUGUCUGACCCAAAGCCCUUGCCCUUUUUCCUAGGCUAAUCCUCUUCUCUCAGUGAGGUGCCCACAACAAACUUUCUGGCCCCUCAGUCAAGUUUAUCAUCACACUUUUGCAGAAGCUGAUCUCCCUCUUGUUCUGACAUUAGUGACCGCCCCAGGCAAUAGCAUUUCACAGCACGCCACAGCAAUUAUUUACGACUUGGAGGUUUGCAGCCUGGGGCUGGUUUACCUGAACUGUUUUGAACAAAAACAAAAGAAUCUCUGUCUUGGUUGCUCCAGGAUUCUGUGAUCCAAAGGAAAUCUGUCUUCUAUAGGCGACGUGGAGGAAGAGUACACGCAGAAGAAAGGCCCCUUCCAGGUAUUUUUGGAAGUGUCAUGGGAAUGAGAAACAAGAAGUCUGAAAAGCUUGUCCUGAAAAUAAUGAGGGUGCUUGAGAGAGAAACUUAUCUUCUUUUCAUUUGUUUUGGAAGAGAUUGUAAACAGUUUAUCAAUAAUAGAACCCUGGCAACUAUUUCUCUGUGUGUCUGUGGAGGAGCAAAACAACAGAGGUUUGCUUACUUAUUGUACAUCUAGAAUUUCACAAUAAAAUAUCCAGAACUAAGGGAA